AAAGCACUUAUUCAGAGAAGCUCUUGUGACGCGUUUGGAUUCUUGGAUUCCGGCGCCUUCAACCACUGCGUUCACGAGGAUUUAGCACAAGCCGGGAGAAACGAUCAACUCCAACACAACAAUGCGUUAUCCUUCUCACAGAAUUGACUUCAACGAUUAUUACGAUUCAAGGAUUCAAGAACUCGCGGUGUUAAGCAAUCCACCAUGGUUCGCGAUAUUCGAUCUUUAUUGAUAGUUCAGAUACUCGAAGAUCCGCGAUUCAUCUCACUCCAUUAUUGUAUGUGCGGAUGGAAGAAAAACCACAUCGAAAUCGGAUCGGAAAAACUUACCAGAUUAAAGCUCCAAUUACAAUUAGCUUCUCACCAAUUCCGUUACGAGUUGCGAGCUUCUACGGAUUUUGUUGAAGGUUCUUGGUGGAUGAUGAAGGCCUCGCUCGCAUCUCCGCUUUGAGAUGAAGACGAAGACGUAAUACCGGUAUUGCCGAUCGAAAUGAAGAAGAAGUCUCUUGGAUCGAUCUUUGGCGGUUCGGUUGUGAUGAUGAUAAAUUAAUGUGGAAGAAUUGAAGAGUGAAGAUUGGAAGCGGUUGAAGGUUUCGGUGGACGGAGAUUACGGUUACGGUUACGGAUUCGUAGUGGUUGAAGGCUUGGCUAUGGAGUUUUGGAGUUUUUGAUGAAGGUGAUUGUGAAUUGAAAAAAAACGGUUACGGUUACGGUGGUUGAAGGUUUUGGUUGAAUGAUUGGAAGAGUUUGUGAUGAAGUUUGGAAGAAGAAGAUUG